rnacentral:tRNA from 1 species
GGGCAUGUAGCUCAGAUGGUUAGAGCGCGACACUGAUAAUGUCGAGGUCAUAGGUUCGACUCCUAUCAUGCCCA